rnacentral:tRNA from 1 species
UGGGGUUUUGGCUCAGCGGUAGAGCACUCGCCUCGCACAUGGGAGAUCCUACCUGGGUUUGAUCCUCAGCACCACAU